UGCCAGACUCCUACGGGAGGCAGCAGUGGGGAAUAUUGCACAAUGGGGGAAACCCUGAUGCAGCGACGCCGCGUGGGCGAAGAAGUACCUCGGUAUGUAAAGCUCUAUCAGCAGGGAAGAAGAUGACGGUACCUGACCAAGAAGCUCCGGCUAAAUACGUGCCAGCAGCCGCGGUAAUACGUAGGGGGCAAGCGUUAUCCGGAUUUACUGGGUGUAAAGGGGGCGCAGACGGCGAUGCAAGCCAGGAGUGAAAGCCCGGGGCCCAGCCCCGGGACUGCUCUUGGAACUGCGUGGCUGGAGUGCAGGAGGGGCAGGCGGAAUUCCUGGUGUAGCGGUGAAAUGCUUAGAUAUCAUGAAGAACUCCGAUCGCGAAGGCAAGUGUCCGGGGUGCAACUGACGCUGAGGCUCGAAAGCGUGGGGAGCAAACAGGAUUAGAUACCCCAGUAA
rnacentral:rRNA from 1 species